rnacentral:rRNA from 1 species
UGCAAGUCGAACGAUGAAGCCCUUCGGGGUGGAUUAGUGGCGAACGGGUGAGUAACACGUGGGCAAUCUGCCCUGCACUCUGGGACAAGCCCUGGAAACGGGGUCUAAUACCGGAUACGACUACCGACCGCAUGGUCUGGUGGUGGAAAGCUCCGGCGGUGCAGGAUGAGCCCGCGGCCUAUCAGCUUGUUGGUGGGGUGAUGGCCUACCAAGGCGACGACGGGUAGCCGGCCUGAGAGGGCGACCGGCCACACUGGGACUGAGACACGGCCCAGACUCCUACGGGAGGCAGCAGUGGGGAAUAUUGCACAAUGGGCGAAAGCCUGAUGCAGCGACGCCGCGUGAGGGAUGACGGCCUUCGGGUUGUAAACCUCUUUCAGCAGGGAAGAAGCGCAAGUGACGGUACCUGCAGAAGAAGCGCCGGCUAACUACGUGCCAGCAGCCGCGGUAAUACGUAGGGCGCAAGCGUUGUCCGGAAUUAUUGGGCGUAAAGAGCUCGUAGGCGGCUUGUUGCGUCGGAUGUGAAAGCCCGGGGCUUAACCCCGGGUCUGCAUUCGAUACGGGCAGGCUAGAGUUCGGUAGGGGAGAUCGGAAUUCCUGGUGUAGCGGUGAAAUGCGCAGAUAUCAGGAGGAACACCGGUGGCGAAGGCGGAUCUCUGGGCCGAUACUGACGCUGAGGAGCGAAAGCGUGGGGAGCGAACAGGAUUAGAUACCCUGGUAGUCCACGCCGU